rnacentral:rRNA from 1 species
CGGGGUGCAGCAGGCGCGAAACCUUUGCAAUACACGAAAGUGUGACAGGGCUAUCCCGAGUGCCAUCCGCUGAGGAAGGCUUUUACCCAGUCUAGAACGCUGGGGGAAUAAGGAGAGGGCAAGUCUGGUGUCAGCCGCCGCGGUAAUACCAGCUCUCCGAGUGGUGUGGAUGUUUAUUGGGCCUAAAGCAUCCGUAGCUGGCUAGGUAAGUCCCUUGUUAAAUCCACCGAAUUAAUCGUUGGAUCGCGGGGGAUACUGCUUGGCUAGGGGACGAGAGAGGCAGACGGUAUUUUCGGGGUAGGGGUGAAAUCCUAUAAUCCCGGGAAGACCACCAGUGGCGAAGGCUGUCUGCUAGAACGCGCCCGACGGUGAGGGAUGAAAGCUGGGGGAGCGAACCGGAUUAGAUACCCGGGUAGUCCCAGCUGUAAACGAUGCAGACUAGGUGUUUGGACGGCCACGUGCCGUUCUAGUGCCGCAGGGAAGCUGUUAAGUCUGCCGCCUGGGGAGUACGAUCGCAAGAUUGAAACUUAAAGGAAUUGGCGGGGGAGCAC